UUUCCUAGGAGGUCACAGCAGACAGGAAGGAUGAAGAAUUGUGGCCAGAAUAAAAGAUGUCUCCCAUGACGCUCAGAAGGAAACAGAGGUCAGAAUGCAGCUAUUUUAGUGACAUGCUAAUGCAAAAAAUCAUAAAAUUGUAAGAGUUGGAAGGGACCUCUGCAAAUCAUCUGGUCCCACCCCCUGCUGAAGCACGAUCCCUACAGUAGAUCGCACAGGAAAACGUCCAGGUCUGACCGACUUCGGCGUUUGCAGCCACUUCGUGUUUCCGAGGCUUUGGUGAUUCCUCGGUACUUCAGGCCCUGCCCUGCUCUGC
ensembl:lncRNA